GGACUACCAGGGUAUCUAAUCCCGUUUGCUCCCCUGGCUUUCGCGCCUCAGCGUCAGAAAAGAUCCAGUGCGCCGCUUUCGCCGCCGGCGUUCCUUCUGAUAUCAACGCAUUUCACCGCUCCACCAGAAGUUCCGCGCACCCCUACCUUCCUCGAGCCCGCCGGUAUCGAAGGCCCUUCCACGGUUAAGCCGUGGGAUUUCACCCCCGACCUCGCGAGCCGCCUACGCGCCCUUUAAGCCCAGUGAUUCCGAACAACGUUCGCACGGUUCGUCUUACCGCGGCGGCUGGCAC
rnacentral:rRNA from 2 species